rnacentral:rRNA from 1 species
AUUGAACGCUGGCGGCAUGCUUUACACAUGCAAGUCGAACGGUAACAGGCCGCAAGGUGCUGACGAGUGGCGAACGGGUGAGUAAUGCAUCGGAACGUGCCCAGUCGUGGGGGAUAACGCAGCGAAAGCUGUGCUAAUACCGCAUACGAUCUAUGGAUGAAAGCAGGGGACCGUAAGGCCUCGCGCGAUUGGAGCGGCCGAUGUCAGAUUAGGUAGUUGGUGGGGUAAAGGCCUACCAAGCCGACGAUCUGUAGCUGGUCUGAGAGGACGACCAGCCACACUGGGACUGAGACACGGCCCAGACUCCUACGGGAGGCAGCAGUGGGGAAUUUUGGACAAUGGGCGCAAGCCUGAUCCAGCAAUGCCGCGUGCAGGAAGAAGGCCUUCGGGUUGUAAACUGCUUUUGUACGGAACGAAACGGCCUGGGUUAAUACCCUGGGCUAAUGACGGUACCGUAAGAAUAAGCACCGGCUAACUACGUGCCAGCCGCCGCGGUAAAAC